rnacentral:tRNA from 1 species
GAGAGGAUAGCUCAGUGGUAGACCGUAUGCCUAGCAUGCACAAGGUCCUGGGUUCAAUCCCCAGUACUUCCA